GAUGAAGAACGUAGCGAAAUGCGAUAAGUAAUGUGAAUUGCAGAAUUCAGUGAAUCAUCGAAUCUUUGAACGCACAUUGCGCCCCUUGGUAUUCCGAGGGGCAUGCCUGUUCGAGCGUCAUUAUAACCCCUCAAGCCUAGCUUGGUGUUGGGGCCUGCUGUAAUAGAGCAGCCCUUAAAAUCAGUGGCGGUGCCAUUAGGCUCUAAGCGUAGUAAUUCUUCUCGCUAUAGGGUUCUGGUGGAUGCUUGCCAUUAACCUCUAAUUUUCUAUGGUUGACCUCGGAUCAGGUAGGGAUACCCGCUGAACUUAAGCAUAUCAAUAAGCGGAGGA
rnacentral:misc_RNA from 1 species